rnacentral:rRNA from 1 species
UGACUGCGUACCUUUUGUAUAAUGGGUCAGCGACUUAUUGUCUGUAGCAAGCUUAACCGUUUAGGGGAGGCGUAGGGAAACCGAGUCCGAAUAGGGCGAUUUAGUCGUCAGGCGUAGACCCGAAACCGGAUGAUCUACUCAUGGCCAGGUUGAAGGCAAGGUAACACUUGCUGGAGGACCGAACCCACUAGUGUUGCAAAACUAGGGGAUGAGCUGUGGGUAGGGGUGAAAGGCUAAUCAAACUGGGAAAUAGCUCGUACUCCCCGAAAUGCAUUUAGGUGCAGCGUAUUAUUAGUUUUAUAGAGGUAGAGCUACUGAUUGGAUGCGGGGGCUUCACCGCCUACCAAUUCCUGACAAACUCCGAAUGCUAUA